CCUACGGGAGGCAGCAGUGGGGAAUAUUGCACAAUGGGGGAAACCCUGAUGCAGCGACGCCGCGUGAGUGAAGAAGUAAUUCGUUACGUAAAGCUCUAUCAGCAGGGAAGAAACACUGACCUUACGGUCAGCAGACGGUACCUGAGUAAGAAGCCCCGGCUAACUACGUGCCAGCAGCCGCGGUAAUACGUAGGGGGCAAGCGUUAUCCGGAUUUACUGGGUGUAAAGGGGGCGUAGACGGGGCGGCAAGUCUGUAGUGAAAUGCCGCAGCUUAACUGCGGAACUGCUUUUGAAACUGGCGAACUAGAGUGCAGGUGGGGUAAGCGGAAUUCCUAGUGUAGCGGUGAAAUGCGUAGAUAUUAGGAGGAACCCCGGUGGCGAAGGCAGCUUACUGGACCGUAACUGACGUUGAGGCUCGAAAGCGUGGGGAGCAAACAGGAUUAGAUACCCUUGUAGUC
rnacentral:rRNA from 1 species